GGGGCGGUGGCGAAAUGGCAGACGCAGCGGACUUAAAAUCCGCUGGGGUGAUCCCCGUGUGGGUUCGAGUCCCACCCGCCCUA
rnacentral:tRNA from 1 species